CUAACUAAAUGAAUAAAUGAGAGAGAGAGGGAGAGAGAGAGAGAGAGAGAGAACAAACAUUCACAGCCCACCAGAAACCCUUCAUGCCCCUCCCAGCCCCAUUCCAGGGCCCUUCAUUGUGGCUGACAUUGACACUGAGCUCUGACAGCACAGGUGAGUGUCGCUUGUCCUCGUGUCCCCGUCUAUGGGUCUGUAAGGUCCACCUGUGAUGCUGUGUGGUUACAGAUCACUUGCCCGCACUUUGGUGUGGGACCCUGGUGCCACGCUGCCGUCUGUGUGUCUGUCCUCUGUUGGCGGGCAGGCGGGUUCUGCAUCUGGGGCUGUGGAGCAGAGUGCGGCGGUGCAUGUUCCCAGGCACAUUCUGUGCCGCUUUGCCUUCUGGGACCCGAAGCCUUGUGCAGGCUCUGACCUGUGCUGCCCCUGGGCUCUUGCCUGCCCCUCCCUUCGGGCUUCUUUUUGUAGGAACCUGGCUGGGAGCCCUUGAGUCACGCGGCAUGUGUCACUUCGGUGCAUGGACCAGAGGUUGGUCUGGCCACCUUCCGCCUCCUUCUCAGGAGGGUUGCCCUGCUGCCUUCUGCCUCUGGGGCUUCCUCUCAGCCUGGGAAGGCCAAGGACCAGGACACACUGCUGGGCGCGGGGCUCACUGGAGGCAGUGGAUUUGGCACACCAGUGCUUAGCCUUGGGUGAGGGAGUGCUUCCUUCAGGGUCCAGGGUCCCCGGAUCCCAUCCUGCACAAAUGACCCACGCUCGAAGUCUGGGGGCUGCUUCUAAGACAGCCUAACCCAAGAGGGAGUUAGGCCCAACCUGGCAGCCUGGGCAGAGCUGUAUAUAGAUGCCCACUAGGCCUCUUCCAGAAACAGUCCCCUCCCUGCCCUGGUAGAAGGUUUGGGAGGAAAAAGCUCCUCUUUCCCACCUGCCCUGUGGUUCCUUGUGGGAAGCUAUAUGAGCAUGCGGUGCCUGGGGCUGCAGUAGCUGUUUUGUGAUAAGGAGGGGAGACAUGGACCACAUCCUGGGCAGAGCAGAAGGAUGGAAGCCAGGCUCCCUGAUGGCACCUGAGCCUUCUGAUCAGCUUGGGUGUCACCUCCUCUGCAUUUCUAGGUAAGGGGCCAAUAAUGCCCUUAUGGGUUAGGCCACAUGUGCUUGGGGCUUUUGCUUGUUAAGCAUAUCUAUUAUUAUCCCUGUGGCCCUUGCCCUCUUUGGUUUGAUUUUUUUUUUUAUUUUGAGACAAGAGUCUUGUUAUGUAGUCCAGAUUGGCCUUGAACUCUUUAUGUAGCCCAGGCUGCCCUUGAACUCCUGGUGAUCUUCCUGCCUCAGCCUCUUGAGUGCUGGGAUGACAGGAGUGUGCCACCCCCCCCCCACUGGCCCUUGUGCUCUUUGGAAUCGGCUCCUCUCAUUGUUACCCUGAGCCUCAAGUUGGUGGCACAGGAGAGGGAAAGAGAGGCUGGACGGUGUGUGUGUGUGUGUGUGUGUGUGUGUGUGUGUGUGUGUGUGUGUGUGUGCGGGCAGAGGUGCUAGGAAGGGAAGGGACAGGGAGAUUUGGGUAUCCAGGUCCCAAGGACAGAGCAGAGGAAGGUGAGUCCCCCAUCAAUCCAGGCAAGGUGUGCGUUAUUAUUGUUAUUAUUAUGCAGCGUCUCAAGGCU
rnacentral:lncRNA from 1 species